rnacentral:lncRNA from 1 species
GGAAAUCAUCAAUUCGUAGUACCAAAAAGGAUACUUUUAUCUCUGGAUGACUCUCUUCUCUAUUCCAAAGUUGUAAUAUUAUUAUUUUUACAUUUUCUUAUCUAUGAGUCUCUAAAUAAGCCUACAGCUUAUAGAUAGUAGUAUGUCCUCUAUGUGUUCAAAAUUUGCUUAUUUUAAAUUUCGACAUGAACUUUGUUAAGUUAUUAUAAUGAUAUUCGUAUUUUCAAUUUGU